ensembl:snRNA U5 U5 spliceosomal RNA
AUAUUCUGGUUUCUCUUCAGAUCGUGUAAAUCUUUCACCUUUUACUAAAAAUUUCCGUGGAGAGGAACAGGCACGAGUGUCAAGGAAUUUUUUGAGGUUCUUUGAGCGCAGCU